ensembl:lncRNA
GUUGCUGCUGUGAGGUGGUUUGCCAGUAUGACUCUCCUGGAGGAGGGCAAGAAAUGUAGCUGAAGUUAGAUCUGUAGCUGGCUAACAUGCUGACCACACCGAGCGUUGCAAAAUAAAUGACCAAUACUGUUUUCAAUCAUUGCACCCACACUGCUCGCACGCACCAAGGAGUGUCUGCGUUGCCAAGCACUAAAAUAGAAGUCAGUUCUAUUUUUGACGCUAACGGGUGGAAGUCCUGCCUCUCCCAUCUCCUCAUUGGUUUAUAGAAGCAUAUAUCCACUUGCCAUCACCUCAUUGGUUAUACCCAGUGGGUGAUUGAAGAUGAUCUGAGGUCGGUCGGUCAGUUUGUGGUAAUACACCUUAUUAUGAAAGUAUGAUGUCAAUCGCCAUAUAAGGUCCAAAGAAAGAAAAAGGAGGAGGAGGAGGAGAGAUGACUGAAACUAUUCGGUUGAUUAUUUUUUGUGUGGAUUAAAAGUCAGAGUAGAGGACCUUGUGAAUUUCAGGUAAAUAAACACUCAAUUUUUAUAUCCCAGGACAAAUUAGCUAGCAACAGCAGCAGCUAGCUAGCUAAAUGCCAUAAAUGUUUAAUUGCUUUUCGACCUGUCCCCAAAUUAUAUAAUUGGUUCAGUUUGUUUUGAUAUUUCAACCUGGGUGCGUGUCCGGUCCGGGCAUGGUGUCUGUGUUUUCUUCUCAGGACCAGCUACACUUUGGGACGUUUCAGGCAUGGUACUUCUUAGCAUCAAAAGAUCAUAUUUACAAAUAUGAUACUUUUCUCCACAAGAUAGCACAGUUCUGUUAGAGAAAAUACAAGAUAAGUUAUUUUAAAAGUUUAUCUUCCAAUCCUAAAUAUAUAAUAAUGUAUAGUGUCUGUUUGUCUUGUCUGUCCCACCAGGAUCUCCGCGAGUGUCUGGUGCUGGUAGGAAGACGGAGGCUGUAUGUCAGAGGAGAUAGAGAGAAUUCAGUCUGUGUUCCUGCAGUAUCCCCUGCCCUACCCCCAGGAUGCCCCCACUCCACUGCUGGUCCCCCAGAGCCCCACACAGCUGCACUUUGGGAACCCCUACUCCCCUCAGACACAAGAGGUUGGUCCCCCCCCCCUUACUAACCUACUCUCCACCUCAGUCACAUUUCAGUUUAAUAUAAGAGGUUGCCCCCCCCCCCCUCUCCCCCUUACUAAACCUAUCCACCUCAGUCACAUUUCAGUUUAAUAUGAGAGGUUGCCCCCCACAUUACUAACCCUUACUCCACCUCAGUCACAUUUCAGUUUAAUAUAAAGGGUUGCCCCCCCCCCCCCUUCCCCCUCUACUGAACCCUACUCCACCUCAGUCACAUUUCAGUUUAAUAGGAGGUUGCCCCCCCACCUUACUAACCCUACUCCCCUCAGUCACAUUUCAGUUUAUAUGCGAGGUUGGUCCCCCCCCUCUUACUAACCCUACUCCACCUCCGUCACAUUUCAGUUUAAUAUGAGAGGUUGGUCCCCCCCCUCAACCCUACUCCACCUCAGUCACAUUUCAGUUUAAUAUGAGAGGGUUGCCCCCCACCUUACUAACCCUACUCCACCUCAGUCAAUUCAGUUUAAUUGAGGGUUGCCCCCCCGCCCUUACUAACCCUACUCCAACCUCAGUCACAUUUCAGUUUAAUAUGAGAGGUUGGUCCCCCCCCCCUUCUAACCCUAUACUCCACCUCAGGCACAUUUCGUUUUAAUAUGAGAGGUUUGGUCCCCCCCCUUACUAAACCCUACUCCACCUCCGUCCACAUUUCAGUUUAUAUGAGGUUGGUUCCCCCCCCCUUACUAACCCAUACCCCCUCAGUCACAUUUCAGUUUCAUCGAGAGGUUGCCCCCCCCCUUACUAACCCUACUCCACCUCAGGCACAUUGCAGGUGUAAUGAGAGGUGGCCCCCCCCCUACUAACCCUACUCCACCUCAGUCACAUUCCGUUUAAUAUGAGAGGUUGGUCCCCCCCUUCUAACCCUACUCCACCUCAGUCACCAUUUCAGUUUCUAUGAGAGGUUUGUCCCCCCCUUACUAACCCUACUCCACCUCAGUCACCAUUUCAGUUUAAUAUGAGAGGUUGUCCCCCCCUUCUAAACCCUAUCCACCUCAGUCACAUUUCAGUUUAUAUGAGAGGUUGGUGGCUCCCUUUUGUCCAUACAUAAUAUCUUUCCCUUCUAACUCUAUUCACAUUCAUUCAAUUGCUAUCAUUUCAUGUGUAAUUUAUUGUACCUUUGACCUGGAAAAUUAUUAUAUGCUAACAUAGGAUAUAGAAACGCUCGGUAACUUUCCCAGGUUUUCCAGCAAUCCCGGUUGAAGGAUUCCUGGAUUUCCUGAUUCUGAGUUUAUCCAACGGGAUUUUGAGAAAGCGGAAUUUUUCAACCCUAAUAGAUCUAUUCCUUUGGCCCUCUCUUCCCCAUCACUCUAGACGGAGCGGAGGGGAGUCUCUGAUGACCUGCUGCCCCGCCUUCCUCUGUGGGCCCCCCCUCCUGGGAUGUAACGUGGUCUGCAUCCAGCCAGCACGCAACCUCAGCCGGCCCGACGGCCGGAGACCCAGUAGUAGCAGCAGAACAACAACCAUGGUUUCAGCUAGUCUGAGGAACAACAAUGGUGUUAUCUGUCUGAGAACAACAAUGGUAGUUCAUCUAGUUGAGAACACAAUGUAGUUUAUCUAGUCUGAGAACAACAAUGGUAGUUAGUAUCUGUCUGAGAACAACAAUGGUUAGUUAUCUAGUCUGAGAACAACAAUGGUAGUAUCUAGUCUGAGAACAACAAUGGUAUUUAUCUAGUCUGAAAAAUCACAAUGUCAGUUGUCUGCCUUAAAGAUAGACCAGAGGAGCUGGUGAGGGCGAGGACAGCUCCUAGU